AUGGCCUUCGCUUCCCCUCCCUGCCCACGUGGACUCAAACCGUUUAUUAUGGAGUACAACCAAAGCGUCAUUUUUUGGAACGUACGGGGUCUCAACUGCACGGCUAAGCGUACCGCCGUGCGUUCCGUCAUUUCUUCCGCCAACCCCUCCAUUGUAUGCCUUCAAGAGACUAAGCUUGCCACCGUCUCAUCGUCCAUCGUCUCCGAAACAUGUGGGCAAUCCUUCACCGGUUUCCUCUUUCUCCCGUCUACAGAUACCAGGGGCGGCAUCCUCCUCGCUUGGCAGGAGGAGCACGUGUCCAUCUCGCACCCCACCAUCGGCAUGCAUUUCAUCAAUGCGCUAGUCUCCCCCCGCAAUGGUCGCCCGCAUUGGUGGAUCACUGGCGUCUACGGUCCUCAAGAGGAGGCAGCUAAGAUCGUCUUCCUCUUAGACCUCCAUGAUGUGUGCUCCACAUGCUCCGGCCCUUGGCUUCUAGGGGGUGACUUCAACAUGAUUGCCUCCGCUGAGGAUACGGACAACGCUAACCUCAACCGUGCCUCUAUGCGACGCUUUCGACACUUCAUUGCCAACGAGGAGCUCCGGGACAUCUACUUGCAUGGACGUCGAUACACAUGGUCUAACGAGCGUGAGGCCCCUACCCUUGUGCGCAUCGAUAGAGUGCUUUGCACCGCUAGCUGGGAGAUUGAUCACCCGUGUUGUGUCCUCCACUGCCUGUCUUCCGCAGCUUCAGACCACACGCCAAUCAUCCUCGACUCAACAAUCCGUGCCUCUGGGCGUAGGCGGUUUCACUUCGAGCAUUUUUGGCCUAAGCUGCAAGGCUAUCACGAAACGGUGGCCUAG
rnacentral:rRNA from 1 species